GGAAAAUUCAUGGAACAAAAUCAAUGAUGGUUGUCCAUUUAGAUGCCCGAACAACCUUUGUGCUGUUGUCCAUUGGUGUGCACGAAGAGGCUGAAGGUUGGGUCUCUUGCUGUCCACGAACAGCCUUUGGCUGUUGACUUAAUGCUUGAGCUGAAACUAGCAAUGUUCAACUAAUAAAAUAAAGGCCGGAAUUAAAGGCUCCUAGAAGUUACCACAUGCAUGCACAGCUUGUUGUAGCAUUUGAGUGGCCAUGGUGUGAACAUACGGUAAUGAAGGGCCUUUGUGUGUGAACAGCCAUAACCGAAUGGUCAUUGGAGUUUGCUGGCUGUUCAGUUGGAGAAUUAAAACAACAAAUUCAUCCCCUUGCCGAAUGGUCAUCUAGGAGAUUGGAAAGUUCAUCUUCAAAGUGCAUGCAUGGCUGAAUGCAUGCUCCUCAUUAAAUGUGUUCAUUGAAUCGGCAAAUUCAUGCAUGUCCAGCAGCCACC
rnacentral:lncRNA from 1 species